rnacentral:rRNA from 1 species
UCUCCGUUAGUAAACCAGCGGAGGGAUUAUUA